rnacentral:lncRNA from 1 species
GUGCCCCUGCCUGGCCCUCGCUCCCUGGCACUUGGCAGAGCUGGGCUGAGAAUACCUUCGAGAGAAGGGCCUCUUGCCAGGUUUGCAUUCGCAGCACUUACGGCUUGGCCCUCUUUCUAACGUGGGCUUCGGGGCUCUGCUGCUGGAGCCACAGCUGCUCCUGCGUGAUCUCGGGCUAUAGCACUCCUGUGCUGUGUGAGUGCUGGUGCUGGGAGCAGAGGCGAGGCCGUGGUGGCUGGGACGAGUUGUCCCUUUAAACACUGGGUCCAGGGAGGGUAAUCUGCCAGAGAUUAUCUGCUGGGGAGAGGAUUGGCAUUAAAGGGAAUGUCUCCUCCCUUCCCCCAUGUCCUACAGCAUCCCUUGUCCUGUGUGUAUGGAAACCAAGUUCACUUUCUCCUGGGCAAGCAGAGAGGGGGCCUUUGAUUUGAGGGGCAAGGGGAGGAGGUCAGUGUGCGCUAUGGGACUACUGGGCCUCCUCUUCCUCGCUGUGCUGGCCACGCUGGUCUCCUGUGAGGACCCAGAAGGUAACGGUAUUUGGGGAAAGAGAGGGUUUACAUGGUGCCCCAGAGGUGCUGGCACAUGGCCAGAGCGGUCUUCUCCAGCAGGGAGCAAGACCUUUGUCAUGUCCCUGUGCUGAGGCUUGGCACAAGGGAAGUGGGAGCUGGCUUCCAGAAGAGCGGGGGGUCACAGGUUGAUGCGCUCUGCACCACAGCAAGGGCAGGGGGGUGGGCUGAGAUGGGCCUUCACUGGGCUUUUACCACGUCAGUGUGGGCCUCUGAGGGCUGGGGAGCUGGUGGGAAGGGUGGUCCUCGCCCCUCUGCCCCAGCCCUGCUCUGCCUUGCUCUUUGCAACACCAGGAGACCUGGAUACUUACUGGUCUGGCACAGCGCCCAUCUGCCUGGGGGGCUGCAAGGGGAAGCACAAGGAGCUGAAGAGGAGCCAGUGUGGGAACGGCAGCUGCUGUUGGCUGGGCUACAAGUCCUUCUGCCGAGUGAACUGCGGGCGACCCGAAGCAGACUUCAACUCGGUGGUGCAUGGCAACGACUGGUGGGUUGGCUCGGUGGUGCGCUACAGCUGCCGGCCCGGAUUCCUGCUGCUGGGGGACCCGGCCAGUGCCUGCCAGUCCGACGGCCGCUGGACACCCAAGCCCACCUGCCUCCGUGAGUACCUCUGGGUGUCAUGCUGAGCCCGAGGGGACACCCUGCCCGCAUGGGGAGCAGGUGGGAGGGCUGCAGGCAUGGCUCCAAUCAUUUUUUCCCCCAGCCCACUGCAGGAAGGCUGUAGUGCUGACAGGCUUUGGCCCUCCUCUUGUAGGGAUCUGCCUGCGAGGUCGGAUCGAGAUCAGCGAGCGGGAUAUUACUGGGAGGUGCUCCUCAUCUUGCAGCAGCCAGGCCCACCUGGGAGCCUUCCUCAACCGUGGCUGCAUCAAGAUCUCAGCCUGCGUCACCAAGCGCUCGGGCUGGACUCGCUGGUUCCUGCGCUGCGAUAUCUGUGAGUGCGACUGCCACGUCCCAUGCGGUGAGUCGCAGUAGCAGCUCCCCACCUUUGGCAGGGACCUGCCUUGCUGUUUGGGGGGAAGGGUGGGCACUCACAGCUGGGGGCCGCAAAAGGCUCAAAAUGUGCUGCUUUUGCUCUCCUUACAGCUUCCUCUGGGUAGAGCCGGGCCAUCCGGCACCGAGGCCCCACACCGAGGGAGGCUUCCACCCUGGAUGUCUUCUUCCUUUUGUCACAUGUUUCCAUCGCUGUGCUCCUUCCAUAAGCCCUGUCCAUCCCAAGGCUGUCAUCUGAGAGGAGAUGUUCUGGACUCACUCUCUCGCAGGGCUGCCUUCCUGCCUGGCCCCAUCCCACGAGUCUCCAGUGGCAGGGGAUGCUCUGUGAGCAGCAGGCACUGGGGAACUGCAUGUGAUUCCUGCAGCUGGGCUUGGGGACGUUGGUGUCUUGGCCUCUAUUUCCCAGCUGCUUCCUGGAGGAGGCUCGUAUUCCCUUUUAGCGGGGAGGUGGCACGUGUGCCUGUGCCUGUUGCAGAAGUAUCUAUCCCAUCUGUGUGGCAGGUCGUGAUUCCUCCCUGCCAGGUGUUUCCUGCAGAUGGGCCAGGCUCUGGCCUGAGAGGUAGAUCUGCCCUCUGUGCUUGCUGUGGCCAUCAGGUAGAGCUGGAGCAAUGUUC